UACAGAGGCCUCGAGCGUUAGGCGGAAUUACUGGGCGUAAAGCGUGCGCAGGCGGUUGUGCAAGACAGAUGUGAAAUCCCCGGGCUCAACCUGGGAAUUGCAUUUGUGACUGCACGGCUAGAGUGUGUCAGAGGGGGGUAGAAUUCCACGUGUAGCAGUGAAAUGCGUAGAGAUGUGGAGGAAUACCGAUGGCGAAGGCAGCCCCCUGGGAUAACACUGACGCUCAUGCACGAAAGCGUGGGGAGCAAACAGG
rnacentral:rRNA from 1 species